rnacentral:tRNA from 1 species
GUUAUAGUAGUUUAUAAAAACAAUGGUCUUGUAAACCAAAAUUGAGAUAAAUUUCUCCUAAAACU